UUAUUUUUGGAUUUCAUUGUACCAAAUGACCAUAUUUUUGUUGUUGCAGAGUGCUUAGAACUCAAGAUAUUAACAUUGUUUCUUUUGACUUUAGUAUUAAGGUAACUUUUACUGACAAUGUGCUUUUGGAUGAUGUGACAAAGCUAUUGAUGAAAAAUGGCAUACCUAACACUGCAUUGAAGUAGAUUGGACAUUUUUGCUUUGGGUUAGUUUUUGUCUAAACUAAAAAUGUUUAUUUGUACGGUCUCACCUUUCAAAAUAGCCAAUAGAUACAUUAUUAUGGCUAUUUGUUAGCUAUAAUUAUUUUCUGCCUUGAUGAAGUCUUUUAA